AUACGUAGGGGGCGAGCGUUGUCCGGAAUGAUUGGGCGUAAAGGGCGCGUAGGCGGCCCGGUAAGUCUGGAGUGAAAGUCCUGUUUUUAAGAUGGGAAUUGCUUUGGAUACUGUCGGGCUUGAGUGCAGGAGAGGUAAGUGGAAUUCCCAGUGUAGCGGUGAAAUGCGUAGAGAUUGGGAGGAACAUCAGUGGCGAAGGCGACUUACUGGACUGUAACUGACGCUGAGGCGCGAAAGUGUGGGGAGCAAACAGGAUUAGAUACCCUGGUAGUCCACACUGUAAACGAUGAAUGCUAGGUGUAGGGGGUAUCGACCCCUUCUGUGCCGCAGUCAACACAAUAAGCAUUCCGCCUGGGGAGUACGGCCGCAAGGUUGAAACUUAAAGGAAUUGACGGGG
rnacentral:rRNA from 1 species